UUUGUUCAAGGUCUUCAUGUCACUAUGCCAUAUCUAUGUCACGUACCAUUAACCAGUUGUAGAAGAUGAAGGUUGUUUCUCAUGUUAUUAAGAGCGGUGGGUGAUUGUCUAAUAAGUGCUUAAGUUUAGAACUCGGUAGAAUCUUUCUUUCAUUUAGCUUACAAAUUUUACUGCAAGAUCAGAUACAGAAAUAAUGUUGGUGUCUUCUAGCGUUGGCAUAUAGGUUUUCUAAUGAAAGGCUUUUUUGGUUACUUGGGGCUGGUGGUUGCUUGGCAGCCUUGCUCAGACAAGAUAAAAAUAAAAAAUAAAAAAUAAAAAAUAAAGCAAAUGGCAAGCGAAGGGCAUCUGCUGUUUUCUUGGUGUCAUUUGGGAAAUUGAUACUACCAGCAUGCUCUAUUGACAUUGCUAUUCAGAGCUGCUUAACAAUUAUAAUGGUUCUCCUG